rnacentral:misc_RNA from 1 species
UAUUAGUCAACUCCAUCGGUUACAGUGAUCGUAAGAGUAACUCGAGAGGACGAUUGGCUGGUUUUCUUGAGAAGAUAUAAAAGCUGUCUCUGCAAGCAAUAAAGGAACGGUGAACGCCGCGCGAACACCUUCUGACCUACGGGCAAACGGACUGAAUCAAAUUUCAAAUGCAUUGCCGUGAAAGCGAGAGACGUAACAAUCUUCAUCUCGAAAAUACGGUUGAUGAAGUGUUCAUUCCCAAUGGACAAUUUACAGACUUCAAAUAGUCAACUGUCGACACCGAUUGGUCAUCCCUCAGCAAGGAAGAAAAUAAAUAUUCCUGAUUACCACACCGAUACAACUAGUAGCCUGCAGCACAUCAAACAAUCGCAUCGAAGAAAGUUGAAACUGCAGCAAAAUUAUUAAUAUAUGUACAUAUUCUUAUUCAUUUUAAAAAGUU